AGGGACUUAGGUAAGCAUUUAGACCUAGGGCCUUCAAAGCCCUCAGCAGGAGUGAAAAUCUCCUAGUCCCUG
rnacentral:tRNA from 1 species